rnacentral:lncRNA from 1 species
CCCUCACCACAGCACCUCAAUAAGAACCACCUCACCCUCACCACAGCACCUCAAUAAGAACCACCUCACCCUCACCACAGCACCUCAAUAAGAACCACCUCACCCUCACCACAGCCCUCAGUAAGAUUCGUUGUUCCAGGGAAGCGCGGACGCCGAGUCGCCGUCGUGAACAUCUCGGACAUCGUGAGCCGCAUCGCUCCACAGAGCGGGCGGCCUCGGGUCCUGGAGCCGACGCUGCAGCAGUGGAUCGGAGACAGCGCCACCAUCCCCUGCACCCAGAACUGCAGCCGCCCAAACCCAAGAAGAAGAGUCCCAGGCCGAACGGAGUGGACGACCUGCUGAGACUCG